rnacentral:rRNA from 1 species
AGGACGAACGCUGGCGGCGUGCUUAACACAUGCAAGUCGAGCGGUGAUCCUCCUUCGGGAGGUGAGCAGCGGCGAACGGGUGAGUAACACGUGGGCAACCUGCCCCUCACACUGGGAUAACCUCGGGAAACCGGGGCUAAUACCGGAUAUGACCUCGAGCGGCAUCUCUUGAGGUGGAAAGCUCCGACGGUGAGGGAUGGGCCCGCGGCCUAUCAGCUUGUUGGUGGGGUAAUGGCCUACCAAGGCGACGACGGGUAGCCGGCCUGAGAGGGCGACCGGCCACACUGGGACUGAGACACGGCCCAGACUCCUACGGGAGGCAGCAGUGGGGAAUAUUGCGCAAUGGGCGAAAGCCUGACGCAGCGACGCCGCGUGAGGGAUGAAGGCCUUCGGGUUGUAACCUCUUUCAGCAGGGACGAAGCGAAAGUGACGGUACCUGCAGAAGAAGCACCGGCUAACUACGCGCCAGCAGCCGCGUAA